GCUCAGAAACCAACCAACUUGAGCAGACCUGAAGCUGCAUCUCUUGUGAUCUGAUCUUCACAGAGAAGAAUGCACAGGUUCCUGGGGGUGUCGAUGGUGACACUGUGGCUGCAACUGACAAGGGUGAACAGUCAACUAGCAGAAGAGAAUCCUUGGGCCCUGAGCACCCAUGAGGGUCAAAAUGUCACUGUGAAUUGUAGUUACAAGACAGCCAUAACUACCCUACAGUGGUACAGACAGAAGUCAGGCGGAGGCCCUGCCCUGCUAAUGUUACUACGUUCAAAUGAGAGAGAGAAGCACAGUGGAAGACUAAGAGCCACCCUUGACACCUCCACCCAGAGCAGCUCCCUGUCCAUCACUGCUGCUCAGUCUGAAGACACUGCUGUGUACUCCUGUGCUACAGAUGCACAGUGUGCGGCAGGCACCUGCAGUCCUGACACAAACCCUCAGAGCUGCUUCCUAGACCUUAAGGGUAGGUCAUGUGCUUCUGUGUCAUCCAAAAGUAAUUCUGUUAAGUUUGCAAUUCUUUUUUUUUAAACUUUAUUUUCCUAACCUGUGUUGCA